UUGUGGCCGUUGAUGAAGUGGUUCUUGUGGGUGGGCUUGCUUUGAACUGAAGGUGGGCCCGGACCAACGCUUCGUUUGUACAUCGCAA
rnacentral:snoRNA from 1 species